rnacentral:rRNA from 1 species
CAAUAGCGUAUAUUAAAGUUGUUGCAGUUAAAAAGCUCGUAGUUGGAUUUGUGGCUGUCACGGGCGGCCUAUCACUUAGUGUUAGUGCUUGCCUGUGUCGCCAUCCUUGGGUGGAGCCCGUGUGGCAUUAGGUUGUCGUGCGGGGGAUGCCCAUCGUUUACUGUGAGAAAAUUAGAGUGUUCAAAGCAGGCUUAUGCCGUUGAAUAUGUUAGCAUGGAAUAAUAAGAUAGGACCUCGGUACUAUUUUGUUGGUUUGCGCACCGAGGUAAUGAUUAAUAGGGACAGUUGGGGGUAUUCGUAUUCCAUUGUCAGAGGUGAAAUUCUUGGAUUUCUGGAAGACGAACUACUGCGAAAGCAUUUACCAAGGAUGUUUUCAUUAAUCAAGAACGAAAGUUAGGGGAUCGAAGACGAUUAGAUACCGU